rnacentral:lncRNA from 12 species
AACAGUGGGCCAAGAGUUCUAACUCAGACUCUGAGUAUUUUUUUGUUUGUUUGUUUUAUCCUCUUUAAAGACAUCUGUUCUACAUGGCUCUCCACCUUGGCUGCAGUUCAAUUUUCACUGACUUCCAUGAACUCCGUUAUGAAACCCAAGUGCAAUCCUCUCUUUGCACCAGGAUCAGCCUGUGACUCCUGAACACAGACCUGCAGCUUACAGAUGCCCUCAGCCACCUCUCCCGAAGCACAUGGCUAUGUUCAUCCCAGAAAUGAGAGAAGGCUUGAGGAGAAAACCUGCAAGACAGUGAGUGAGUACCAGUGUUAGAAAUAUUGCCUGACA